AAUUGCUAAAUGCUUCUCCGCAAGAGGAGUUUUUAAUUUAGAAUAAGCAUUAAUUACUAAAUGUGUUUCUGAUCUGUUUUUCUAACAAAAGUUCAUGAGUUUUUUUAUAGUAGACAUAUAAUCAUGUAGCAUCUGCUUAAAACCAAAGGGACUUCCUGUUCCUGCGAUAACAGGUGCCAGCUUCACAUUCCUCAGUAGUUGUGCCAGCCAGCCAACACUUAUUAUUAAUUGCACCCCUCCCUGGUACAGGAGCAUGUUUAUUAUUUGGAAACCCUCCAGACAAGCAGUUAAUUGGCUGACCAAUCAGAAGGGAGGGAUGGUGACACAACCUAAUUUUGGACUGAAGCCUCUAUGCUUUUGCCCUGAUUUAAUUUGCUUUUAUUUGUGCCGAAACGCUUGUUACGGAUAUCCAGACAUGCAAACACAUCUGCCUGCCAACGCGGAGCAUCAAGAGACUUUGUUAGUGGAAUUAUGAUAUUUGAGCCGCUCUCAGGUUAGUUGGAGUUUAAUUGUGGCACCUGUGGCCUCCGACAGCUCUUGGAGCUGGAAGCAGAGUCUGGGUGCUAGGAACAAAACAUAAAACACAGCAUCUCAUCAUCAAGGCUGGGACUCUGUGACACCGUUGGACUGCUUCUCUUGAAGGAGAAAUGCCAGCCUCGUUUUUUACCUCGGGCAAUACUUUCAAAUAUGCACAAACGCUGCAGGCAACACGACUAAACUUGAGUGUGGCGAGGAGAUGGUUUGUUGGCGGACUGGCCCGGUUUUACUCCCAUGCUGUAAUUCACUCAACGACUUUCCCUGGUUCUUUAGCUGAAUUUCAACAAAAUGGUGCAAAUCCAUUUUUAACCCACAGGUAAACCACUAGUUUAGCAAGACAGUGCAGGCUUUGUUUCAUAUCUACCACUUUAGGAUUAUUGUAAUGUAUCUGGCCACUUGCAGAUUUCCUCUCGGCUAAUAAAAACACCAUUCCGGUGAGUGGCUUUGUCCCACAAACAAUAAAGUUGAUGCUAAUUUAAUGGAAUGAAAACAUUUUAACCUUCUAAUUUGCAUCUUUUAAAUAUGAAUAAAAAAUGGCACUGAAAACUAGGCUCGUGAUGCUCAACGCCCACAGUUACGUUUGACAUUUACCUCCUACUAGAAUUCAUCAACAUUGACGCUCCCUCAUCUGCGCCUCAUGUUUAUGGGCAGAAACCUCAAAUGUUCUGUACUAAAUGUCUUUUGUUCUCUUAUGCCUGCAGUUAAGUUGCAAAUGUUUUUUUUUUAUUCUGUUAUUUCAUAGACGUGACCCCAUCAGUGUAGCUGCUUUUAUCAACAUCCAUUUGUCGACAUGCGCGUGAUUGGCUUGAUGGACUCAUCGUUUUGGAAACAAAGAACCCCGCUCAGAAAUAGUAGUCUUGUUUACUACCACCUGUUUACUGCUUUUAGACUGAAUCAGCCAAAGCGUGUGCAGAGAGCUCACUGACAGAAAUGUGCACCAUGAAAAAGAAGAAAUACAUAGCUGCUGCAGAGAGCUGAGAUGAUUCAUUCGGGGGGGUUUCUUUAUGGAAAGUCACGAAACUGUUUGUAUUGAACUGAAUCAAGUCAUUUGUGAAAGAUUAAAAGAAACUAGAUUUGUACACUUGAUUAAACUUGUGUUAAUCCCUAAUCUUUAACAAAACUGCAGUGUAAAAGUGUUGUUCUCUGAUAAAACAUUUUUUAAUGAUAUGUUUCUGAUUAUAAUCAGUCACUCUGAGUUUUUCAUGCAGGCUGAACAUGAAAAUAACCUCCUACACCUACCUCUAGGGUGUGAAAAACCUGACAGAUCUACAUCAAUCAGUCACAUGGACUAACUUGUGCUAGCUUGCAACGGGGAAGGCUGUUGUUGUUGUCCAGAAUCAGCAGGGGACGUCUGGGCUAGCAGAAGCUAAUUGUUAGCAUUAGCAACUCAACCACACAGCCGAAGCUCUUUUAGACUUGGGUUAUUAGUGGAGAUAAAGCAUCAAUGUCACAGAGCAAACUGAGUCAGUGGUAGAGUUGUUGCUGUUAACCAAUCAGGGGUAAGAUGCUCAAAUAUCAGAAAAUAAGACUCAAAAUCCUGUGUUCAAUCUCCUCUGAUGUGGCAGACUUGUCUCUGCUGAUCCAAGCAUUUCUGGGCAUUUUUUGCCCCGAGAACAGCUUGAAAGGCACUCAUUCCUAUCACCAACCAAUACAAACGUAUUGCUAAAAUGAGUU